AUGAACGCUGGCGGCGCGCCUAACACAUGCAAGUCGAACGGUUAAAGCCCCUUCGGGGGUGCAUAAAGUGGCGAACGGCUGAGUAACACGUGGGCAACCUGCCCCCCGCUUCGGGAUAGCCUCGGGAAACCGUGGGUAAUACCGGAUACUCCGCCCACCCCGCAUGGGGAGGCGGGAAAGCGCAUACGGCGGGGAUGGGCCCGCGGCCUGUUAGCUCGUUGGCGGGGUAACGGCCCACCAAGGCUAUUAUGGGUAGCCGGGUUGAGAGACCGACCGGCCAGAUUGGGACUGAGACACGGCCCAGACUCCUACGGGAGGCAGCAGUGGGGAAUCUUGCACAAUGGGCGAAAGCCUGAUGCAGCGACGCCGCGUGCGGGAUGAAGGCCCUCGGGUUGUAAACCGCUUUCAGCAGGGACGAGGCGCAAGUGACGGUACCUGCGGAAGAAGCCCCGGCUAACUACGUGCCAGCCGCCGC
rnacentral:rRNA from 1 species